CGCCCCUCUCAUACUGAAAUCCCCCUUCCCCUGAAGCAACACUAUUGUGAGGGUUUUCCCCGCAGUCUCCAGCGCGGGGCGGCUGUGAGGUGACCCGAGUCCACAAAGACGGCGACAAACACCGGCCCGAGCCGGGGUUGGGGACACAGCCGCAGCAUAUCUCCUCUAGCCAGAAGCCUCCCUCCAUAGGCUGAGUGAUUCUAGUUUCCCUUGUCAGUCACCACAAUGACAGAAGGAGGUAGGAGAACAAGGUUUAAAAUGGUAGCUACGUUCUGACACUAUUAGCAUACUGGACUAAUCAUCUAGGUAUGUUUUUAAAUCUGGGAGAUUGGUAGCAAAUGUGGAGAAAGAACAGGAGAGAGAUGUUAGCCACUUACCCUGUAAUCAGCACAGAUUAAAAAGAGCAAAAGACGGUAA
rnacentral:lncRNA from 1 species